rnacentral:misc_RNA from 1 species
GUAAAUAUUGAUAUUUGUUCAGACGCUGAUUGCAAUUGCAAAGAGUUUAAAGUGAUCCUAUCGGCCAGAAAACCAGCCGAGGAAACAUUCAGUACGCAAAAGACAUGGGUGCAGACGGGGGCUAUAUUACUAUAACCCCGUACUACUAGGUAAUGAUCCUUCCGCAGGUUCACCUACGGAAA